UACGUAGGGUCCGAGCGUUGUCCGGAAUUACUGGGCGUAAAGAGCUCGUAGGUGGUUUGUCGCGUUGUCCGUGAAAACUCACAGCUCAACUGUGGGCGUGCGGGCGAUACGGGCAGACUGGAGUACUGCAGGGGAGACUGGAAUUCCUGGUGUAGCGGUGGAAUGCGCAGAUAUCGUGAGGAACACCGGUGGCGAAGGCGGCGACCUGGGUAGAUACUGACGCUGGGGUGCGAAAGCGUGGGGAGCAAACAGG
rnacentral:rRNA from 1 species